rnacentral:tRNA from 1 species
GCGAGUAUAGCUCAGUUGGUAGAGCGCAACCUUGCCAAGGUUGAUGCCGCGCGUUCGAGUCGCGUUACUCGCACCA